rnacentral:misc_RNA from 1 species
GAAUUAUUUUCUUAGUAAUAUAUUUCUAAAUUCUAUGUUUGGGUCAUGGAGAAAAAUUGAUCAAAACAUUUUUUCUAGUAAAAGGAAAACUAAGCUAUUAUCAAAUAAAACAAAUUUUCAUUUUAGAAAAGGAAAGUUAUUUUUUGGACUUCUAUGAAUUCACAAUGGGGAAGAAGAUCACCAAGGAUCUACUUAGGCACAUAGUUAUAAUCCACUGAUUGUUUCAAGCUGUUGCAAUAGACCCUUUCUUUGCAAAUUUCAU